GGUGGAUUAGUGGCGAACGGGUGAGUAACACGUGGGCAAUCUGCCCUUCACUCUGGGACAAGCCCUGGAAACGGGGUCUAAUACCGGAUAACACUCUGUCCCGCAUGGGACGGGGUUAAAAGCUCCGGCGGUGAAGGAUGAGCCCGCGGCCUAUCAGCUUGUUGGUGGGGUAAUGGCCUACCAAGGCGACGACGGGUAGCCGGCCUGAGAGGGCGACCGGCCACACUGGGACUGAGACACGGCCCAGACUCCUACGGGAGGCAGCAGUGGGGAAUAUUGCACAAUGGGCGAAAGCCUGAUGCAGCGACGCCGCGUGAGGGAUGACGGCCUUCGGGUUGUAAACCUCUUUCAGCAGGGAAGAAGCGAAAGUGACGGUACCUGCAGAAGAAGCGCCGGCUAACUACGUGCCAGCAGCCGCGGUAAUACGUAGGGCGCAAGCGUUGUCCGGAAUUAUUGGGCGUAAAGAGCUCGUAGGCGGCUUGUCACGUCGGAUGUGAAAGCCCGGGGCUUAACCCCGGGUCUGCAUUCGAUACGGGCUAGCUAGAGUGUGGUAGGGGAGAUCGGAAUUCCUGGUGUAGCGGUGAAAUGCGCAGAUAUCAGGAGGAACACCGGUGGCGAAGGCGGAUCUCUGGGCCAUUACUGACGCUGAGGAGCGAAAGCGUGGGGAGCGAACAGGAUUAGAUACCCUGGUAGUCCACGCCGUAAACGUUGGGAACUAGGUGUUGGCGACAUUCCACGUCGUCGGUGCCGCAGCUAACGCAUUAAGUU
rnacentral:rRNA from 1 species